AUUCCAGCUCCAAUAGCGUAUAUUUAAGUUGUUGCAGUUAAAAAGCUCGUAGUUGGAUUUCGGAUGGGAUCUGCCGGUCCGCCUUUGAGGUGUGUACUGGUAGGUCCUAUCUUGUUGUCGGGGACUAGCUCCUGGGCUUCACUGUCCGGGACUAGGAGCCGACGAAGUUACUUUGAGUAAAUUAGAGUGUUCAAAGCAAGCCUACGCUCUGAAUAUAUUAGCAUGGAAUAACACGAUAGGACUCUGGCUUAUCUUGUUGGUCUGUGAGACCAGAGUAAUGAUUAAGAGGGACAGUCGGGGACAUUCGUAUUUCAUUGUCAGAGGUGAAAUUCUUGGAUUUAUGAAAGACGAACUUCUGCGAAAGCAUUUGUCAAGGAUGUUUUCAUUA
rnacentral:rRNA from 1 species